GAAAUGCGAUAAGUAAUGUGAAUUGCAGAAUUCAGUGAAUCAUCGAAUCUUUGAACGCACCUUGCGCUCCUUGGUAUUCCUUGGACCAUGCCUGUUUGAGUAUCAUGAAAUCUUCAAAGUAAAUCUUUUGUUAACUCAAUUGGUUUCUACUUUGGUAUUGGAGGUCUUUGCAGCUUCACACCUGCUCCUCUUUGUUCAUUAGCUGGAUCUCAGUGUUAUGCUUGGUUCCACUCGGCGUGAUAAGUUAUCUAUCGCUGAGGACACUGUAAAAGGUGGCCAAGGUAAAUGCAGAUGAACCGCUUCUAAUAGUCCAUUGACUUGGACAAUACUUUUAUGAUCUGAUCUCAAAUCAGGUAGGACUACCCGCUGAACUUAAGC
rnacentral:misc_RNA from 1 species